UGUGUGCGUGCUUAUGUCCGGGUGAAAGUAGCGCGAGCAGGGUCCCGUGAAAAUAUCUCAUCUUUCGUGCUCUCCCCUCCCCGAUCCCCUCCUUCCCUCUCCUCUCCCUUGCCUUCUCUCCCGUGCCCCCUCCCCUGAUCCCCUUCUUCCCUCCCGUCACGCUGCUGGCUCCAUGCGGCGGCCGACGCGGCCUUCUCUUCCCGGCGCUCGAGGUGCAGCAGCGGGUGCGACAGUUCUCGGUCCAGCCGGGUGGGGAAAAGGUCGCCGGCAUCACGCGCUGCGCGCCGUGAUUCUGCAUUGGGCGCAGAUCUUCGCCUCGCCACAUCUCCUCCUCCUUGUCCUUCUCUCUGUCUCCCAUGCCGCCACCAUUGCAAGGAGCAGGGGAGAUAGGCGCCGAGGAUAAGAAGCAUCGGGUUGGUCGUGGUGGGCUUGAGCAGUUGGGGAGGAGAGCAGGAGGCCGUCGUGGUUCGUCAUGGAGACGGCGCCGCUAGCAAGAUGGUUGAGGUUGCUGCUUGUCGUUGGUUGUAAGCAGAGUCGUUGUGGUGGUUGGUGUCUCCUAGGCAGUACGGUGGUCUCAGAUGAUCCUUCAAAGGAGGCCACAGAGAUCAGUGAUUACUUCUUGGUAGUCUGCGGGGAGUUAUCGACAACAGCGAGGCACUUGGAGAAAACCAAAUAUGCUCCAUGCCGAUAUGCUUCAUGACGAGCGUGCAUUUGUCAUCCCACACACUCUCAGAUGUCUGGUAGAAUUACUAGAAGUAGCAGAUCUAUUCUUUGUUUGCUAUACUAGCUUGCCGUCAGCUUACGCCAAUGACCCAAGUUGGCGGUCCUGUGAACAUGGAUUUUUAUCUAUAAAACAUGUAUUGAAAUCUUGAGAACUUCGGGCCUGACAUGUGCUCAUGCACUUGGUGAGGAACAUGAGACCUUUAAUGUCUAUUAAGUCAUGUUUUUGCACAAUUCUUGGGUGUAGCUUUACCGAACAAUAUAACGCUUCUAAGAGCUGCCACUUUUACACUAAUAAUGCAGUGUAGAGGCCUGUGUGUAGAGCUAACAAGGAAAAUCCAUUGCCAUGGAUUUAGUGACUUCACAAGGAUAGCACAUAGAUGAAGACUUGCCUUUUUUGUAUGAGAUGUGAUUUCUUCGGCACCCGCCGUUCUAGCGCCAUCGACGGUUCAAACUGAUCCGGUACGCUCAAUAUGCCUCGUUGGCCGUGGUCAGCGUACUUUUCAUCGCCGUGGUAAAAAUCCAUGCGCUCGUUCUUCUGUACACGCAGCAUAACUGGGUUAGAGUGACUGACGCAUGGCCAGCCUCGCAGCGACAGCGUGUGUGCAUGCUUAUGUCCGGGUGAAAGCAGCGUGAGCAGGGUCCCGUGAAAAUAUCUCAUCUCCCGUGCUCUCCCCUCCCCGAUCCCCUCCUUCCCUCUCCUCUCCCUUGCCUUCUCUCCCGUGACCCCCUCCUCCGAUCCCCUCCUUCCCUCCUGUCAUGCUGCCGGCUCCAUGCGGCGGCCGACGCGGCCUUCUCUUCCCGGCGCUCGAGGUGCAGCAGCGGGUGCGACAGUUCUCGGUCUAGCCGGGUGGGGCGCAGGUCGCCGACAUCACGCGCCGCGCACCGUGAUUCUGCAUCAGGCACAGAUCUUCGCCCCGCCACAUCUCCUCCUCCUUGUCCUUCUCUCUUUCUCCGAUGCCGCCACCAUUGCAAGGAGUAGGGGAGAUAGGCGCCAAGGAUAAGAAGCACCGUGUUCGUCGCGGUGGGCUUGAGCAGUUGGGGAGGAGAGCAGGAGGCCGUCGUGGUUCGUCAUGGAGACGGCGCCGCUGGCAAGAUGGUUGAGGUACGUGUCUGAUCCGUUGGUCCUUCAUGAUUGUAGUUGUUCAUUCUCCUCAUAGACUAUGUUUCCCUUUCCUUCCUCAAUCUGCUUUUCCCAGUUGUUCUUGUUGUAGAACUGCAGCGGUUCAUUCAGCGCGGGCUGAUGUGCAGGCUUGACCUAGGCAGGUUGCUACUCGUCGUUGGUUGUAAGCAGAGUCGUUGUGGUGGUCGGUGUCUCCUAGGCAGGUUUGUCUUCUACCUCUGAACAAUCUGUUUGUUGCCGAUAGUUUAUACAGCAAAACUGGCUCUUGUGUCUGGCCUGGAGUGUUGUGGCUGGUAGGGAAAGUCCAUAGGAGUCUGCUUUUAGAGGUGUCGUAAUAUGAGAGGUCAUUUGUUUGCAUGUCGGUGCAUCUUUGGAUCUAUCUGUCUGAAGAUGCUUCUUUACAGGAAACUAUUCGUUCUAGCCCAGGGGUGUUCCUUUGCAUUUUAACCAGUGUGAUGUUGUUUUCUUCCACUGCCUACAUGUACUCCUAUAGCCUAUUGUUUAUCCCUGCUAAGUUUGUUUUAUAUAUGUUUAUAUGAAAAAAUUAAUGGGGCAUCAUCUUGGUAGAUUGAGUUUGCUAGAUUAGUUUCAUGCCAUCGAAAACAACAAGCAGAUGGAGCGGGACGGGGUGAAGGUUCCCGUCCCAUGGCCUUCACGUGUUGUGGCUGGCGGCGCUCCACUUCCUUCCCCCCUAGUGAGUCGUCCUUGAUCUGAAAAAUAUUUACUCCCCGUGCUGAUUUGUUUCUUGGCAUACAGUACAGUGGUCUCAGAUGAUCCUUCAAAGGAGGCCACACAGAGCAGCGAUUACUUCUUGGUAGUCUGCGGGGAGUUAUCGACAACAGCUGAGGCACUUGGAGGUAUGGUGCCAUCACUGCUCAGCUUCCCCCAUGUUUCCUUUCAGUUUAGAGCUUUCACUUCCUUUAGCCAGGUUUGCAAUUUCAGAUUGCCAGCUACCUUUUAUUGGUGUAUAUGCAAGGAAUAGAGGUUUCUUGAUCAAUCUGGUUAUAACUUUAUUCUCUUGUUUGAUUGACACAUUGUUUUAGUUAUCAGAAAGGUAAACUGGCCAUGUGAAAAUAAACUAGCU